AUCUCCUGUUUCUGCCCCAUGUUCUUUAUGCAUCAAUAGAUUAAUGGGUUCUAGUAUGGAGAAGAAUAAGCCUAAUGAUUUGAUUUAAUUUUCUUUUACGUGUUGAUACGAUGUUUAAAGAAGUUUUAUUGAAUUGUUAGGAUCGUGUUACCGAGAUAUCUGUUUUGAAUCUUGAUUUAUAUUUAAAAAUCUUGGUUUAAGAGUUUUGGAACUACAUUU
rnacentral:snoRNA from 1 species